AUUGAAAUGGAGAUGAUUUUGGUAACUAGAAUGCAAUGCUUUUACCGUACCGCCCUUUUUUAAUUUUAUGCACACCUGAAGACAACUCAUGAUUGACGCAGGUAAAUAGAUGACAAAUAUUUGUUACAACAAUGCAACAUUUUAGAUUCAAGACCAGUUACAACGUAUAUUGCAGUUGUGGGUGAUACUGUCACACUAUCUUGUCCAGAGAGGUCCAAAAAUUCAGUAACAUGGCACGGUCCUCAAGACUACUUUCCUUACAGUGAAGAUGACCAAAUUAACCCUUUACUGAGCAGCAAAAAUAUUUUCAUAGUUGGAAAUAAUAGUGAGGGAGAAUAUAACCUAGAAAUUUACAAUGUAUCGUACGCGAAUCAAGGAAAUUACAGAUGUAGAGCAUUACACAGUAUACCAAUGGAGUUUGACGUAUUGCUGAUUAUAAAAGGUAAGAUAACUGUAACAUUUUGAAUGUUAUUUCAUUUACAUUUCAAAUGGGUAAGGUCAAUUCUUAAGUAUAUCAAAAUGAAAUGUGGUUGAGGUUUGAAUAGGGGUAAACUUUUAGGUAAGGUUGAUUCAGUUAAAUGUCUGUUUCGCCUGAAAGCAACCUAUAACAUUUAUACUUUCUAUAUGAAAUAGAUCAAAGAUAAUGCGUUGUCUCCAUUUAUAAAGAUAAAUCCUGUCGAUAGUAUUUCUUAUAUUUUGGCAUUGCUCAAGGUCAUGCUCUUUUCGGAAUACUAAUGACGUCGUUAUACUCAAUCAGCUGAAAGUGAUCUCAUUGUUAACUUCGUAUGGGAUAACAUCUCUUUUUAUCAGUUAUUAUCUAAGAGUGCUCUUAGGUUGGUACUUUGCGUGUUUUGUCUUUAUAUUAGUUGUGUUUUUUGUUUUGUGUUUCCUUCCAGUAUGAUGAGUCAAGCAAUUUCCAACUGGUGUUAACAAUUUGUCCUUUCGUUGUGCUGUUACACAACUGUUCUAGGUUAUGGAAGGGUAGAGUGCUCACAAACAUGAUUUACCUCCCCAAAUUCCUUAUGCCUGCUCAAAGUCUGGAACCUGUUAUUUAGGUGGUGUUGUUGUUGGUUGUAGUUGAUGUCUGCUAUAUAUGUGUUUUAUUUGUUGUUUUGUCAUAAAUCAGGCCGUUGGUUUUUUGUUUGAACUGAUACACGUUUUGCCUUUACGAUAUAGGAUUUGCUAAAUUGCUUAAGUCAACGUUAUUUGAACUCAUUUGAAUGGUUAUAUCAUUGGCAAUUAAUUCAAAUCUCCUUUUUUAAUAAAUCAUGUUAAUUUCAAUGAUUACUGUGUAUGGAUUAUUUUAGAUUAUCAUUUUGGCUUCAAACUCAUAAAGCAUUACAGCAACCUGAUACCAAAUUAGUGUAAUAAAGAUUUUUUCUGUAUUGUCUAUUGCAAGAUUCAUUAUAUAGCCUUUUCCUUCUAAUUUUCUGCAAUAUUUAAGUGAAAGAUUGAUUAAGAUGCUUAAUAUCUAGUUGCAAGUAUUAAAGCACAUUCAGAAUAUUGAAAAUAACGGGAAAAAUAAGACAUAUCAGUUUUCUCUUCGAUUUAUGAGUUUGAAUGUCCCCUUGGUAACUUUUUGAUAUUAAAAAAACACAAAUGAGUAAUCAUGUGGUGAUUUUCAGAUAAAGAACAGCAAUAGGAGCACUCUUCCUUUGCCUUUUGUGUUUUUUUUUUGCUGAGCAUAUAUUAAUUUUGUGUCAUGGAUAGUUACCCCACAUCCCUUUUUUUGUAUUAUAACACAAUAUAUAAUUACGAAAUAUCUUUGGUUAAAAAAAUGAUAAUUAUUAACAGUAUCGUAGGCAUAACAGCCCAAAUAGAAUUUACCUGAAACGAAAAACUGUCUCAUAGAAUGUCUGAUAAUGUCUGUCUCGACAUCAAAAAAUCUGUUAUUUCCGUUUGAAUCACCGCACUAUGGUGAUAUUAUCUUAAAUUCUUAAGCUCGCUGAGGUAUUUGUGAUGAUAAAUGUCUUGACCUUGAAACCGAAAUUUUGUUAUGUACCAUGGGACUGUGGCUUGGAAUUAUUUUAAACGUAAAAUGCAAAAUGUUUUUAAAAGAUACCAAAGUUUGUAUAGAAUUUAGUCAUAAUUAUGAUUCCAAAAACCAAUAGUUAAAUUAUUUCUGUCAUUUUCCCGUCAAUUUCAAAUGCGAACUUCCUGCUUCGAUCCAUGCCAAAUCAACAAUGACCAAACAUAAAAAAAAUUACAGGAAUUUCCGUUACACAUCGGUUUCAAUACAUUUCCGAGUUUUCAGAUUUAAGAAAAUAUAAAUCUAAACAGGCUGCAUGAAUUUCACUGCAAACCGAAUAACAGACAUAUUUUUAUCAAGAGCUAUAUAUACUUUGUCCAUUCUUGUUUAUGCUUUAAAGCUAUAUUAAAACAAACAAUCCAUUUAAACUAUUCAUCUCACAAAUAUGAUCACCUUUUUUUUAGACUUCAACCAAUCAAUUAAUAUGUUAUCUUCCGCCUAUAUAAUACUGUAAUACUUCGGAUCAUAUCAAGGCAUAUAUAAACAUUGUACCACAUUCGAUAGACAUUAAAUAUUCUAAUAGAUUUUGAUGGAUAUGACAUAUCUUUGUGUGUCCUUUCUCGAGUAUACUGGUUUUAUAUGCAUGUCUUCUGUUUUCGGUAGUGAUGACGAUUAUGUGAAAUGUAAUUCGAAUACCCUUUCUAUUUGAUUAAUUGUACCGUGUAAGCAUUAUGAACGACAUUUGUAUAUUAAGGCAAAUUAAACAUUCGUACUUUCGGUUAGUUAUUAUAAUUACAGAUAAACCAUCAACAGUUAAAGCAAUUACAGACUAUGAUGCACAAAAGGAAACCCACAAGGAAACGAAUUCUCCUGUUUCUGCCUUCCAAAAUACCAGAGCAUAUAAUGAAUCCGGCUACAACACUUUAAACGUCAGUUAUCGAAAUAAAGGUUGUACAAAAAGUAAUGACAACGAAUUUAAAUUCAUAAUAGUAUGCAUAGCGUCAUUCAUUGUUGUGAUUAUCACCGUUACUUUCCUUGGUGGUGUAUUGUCGAAAUAUUACAAGACGAAAUAUAGAAAGCAAAAUCUUUCAGAAGUCGGAAUUACGAAUGAUUACGAGGAAAUCGAAAGCACAAAUAGUGACUUAGUGCAGGAUGCACGAAUACUAAUUAACCCAAUAAACGAAAUAAACAUUCCAACAAUUAGAAAAGAAGACGAAACCACGCCAUCUGAUACAAAUAUCGACGUCAGAAAUAGUCCGACACAAUCUUUGAAUGAAGACAGUUUACAUACAACCCACAGGCAAAGUGCGAUAGACAUGAUAGACUUAACAACAGUUUACGAAAACGAUACGCUUUCUUGUAACACCAAUGACGAGGAUCCAGAUGCUUACCUCCAUCCGUAUGUAGAACUAGGACCUGAGGACUACUUGAAUCCAUAUCAGCCAUUGCAUUAUCAUCAGAGUUAAGCACAUAAAUGAAUAUGCGCAUUAUUCGAUAGGACAGCCACCUUAUACAUUUAUCUAUCAUGCAAUUGUCGAAUCAAUUAUCAUUAACUUUAGUCGUUGAACGUAUUUUUUCAACAUUCAAAUCUUUGGUAUGUGAAAACAACAAUAAACAAAGAAUAUAAUAUAGUAAAUGAAUUAUUAAUUUGAUAAGACAUUUUUAUUUCAAAAACGAUGAAUACAUUAUGAAUCGUACAUUUUUGAAAAACUGAUAUUGAUAUAACUACAGAUAAAGUAAUCUUACAAAAAAGGUAUUUUAAUUACAUAAUAAGAUUAAGUUUUUCAAAUAACAGAAUAAUGUUCGAUUAUUGAUUAAUACACACUAUUCAUUCAUUUGGCUUAUGCCUAAUAAAAGUUCAUAAUACAUUUAUUCAUUCACAGGUAAAUACAAGGAAAUAUAUCAAAAGUACAUAACAACAUGAACAAAUCAUAAAUACAUUAAAAGUCAUAUAAAAUAAUUUUUAUAUACUCACGAACACUAUUUUAACUAUUUCAUCAGCUUUCAAUAUAACCUGCUUAUAGUAUUGGCUACAAUUUAAGUCAGUGUUUUUUCUGUAUGUUACUAUGAAAAGGAGAUGUGGUAUGAUUGCCAACGAAACAACUACAAAUGUAUAAUCCAGAGAUUAAAGGCGUAAUGAGGGAUGGUAAAUGCAAAGUUAAAACGCUCCUAUAUCAGAUUAAAGGAUGUAUACGAUAUUUUUUUUUUGGUUAAAAUUCAGAGUUUGUUUGUACUGUGUGAUAUGCAUAACAUUUAGUCCAACACAAAUUUGAUGACAGUGACACAAAAAUUGGACAUUCUUAAUUACUUUCCAAUUUUUGACAUUUUUACCUAUUAUGUCUGUUUGUUUUGUUCACACAUCGUUGUCAAUAUAAUGUAAUUUUAUGCGACUGUCAGACAAGUGAGAGGUUUAGCUAGCUAUAAAACCAGGUUUAAUCUACCAUUUUAUACAUAGGAAAAUGCCUGUACCAAGUCAGGAAUAUUACAGUUGUUAUCCAUUCUUUGUUGUGUUUGAGCUUUUGAUUUUGCUAUUUGCUAAGGGACUUUCCGUUUAGAAUUUUCCUCGGAGUUCGAUAUUUUUGUUAUCUUACUUUUCAGCUAUCCUAAUCGUUUUUGACCAUUUUAUCUAAGAUUUUGAUCUCUUGAUUUAUAUACUGUUAUGAAAAGACCACUGAAAUACAAAUAAACACGUGUUAAUGCAAAUGAGAGAUAUAUGUCAAUGAAACAUCAAUCUAAAGACGCAGAAAAAUACAAAAUUCUAAUUGUGACUCUUUUUAAAAAAAAAUUCGAAAAAUAGUAUAGCAUUCUACAAAAAAACUCUUAAAUUAGUUUCUGCUUUUAAAAUUAAUGCACCUUAUUGUCAUUUAAUAUAUUAAAAAGCUGUGUCAUGAAACAGUUACAACUUAGCAUGUAAUCACUUUUUCUGAGAGUACAUAUACAUUCAAAAUAUCAAACGCAACUAUGAAUAAAAUUGUGUUCAAAUAUUUUAAAAUUAUGGAUAAUCACGAAAUGUGAUUUCACAGAUAUGUGGAAUUGAUAUAGUUAUAAUAUAAUGUAUAUUAAACUAGCCCUACGAGUCUUACAUGUAUUCAGAAGACAUAUGUAAGUAAAAUAAUGAAAUUGAAACUUUUUGAAUUUGAUCUAGGCUAUCUUUUGCAUUUAAAAGUCAUAUUGAAAGGUUUUAAGACAUGUGAGCUGCUGCGGAUGGAAAUCGACCUUUUGAAUAUGAAUAUCAAUUAACUGAGUUUAUAAAAGAAACUUACAAAACAAACCCAAAUUCAUCUUUUAUUUCGUAUUUGAACGUUCCAUACGUUAUGAAUAUACAUCUAACCAAUGUACGUGCACUUGUUUAAGGUCGAUUUUUAUUAGACGCAGCUAAUGUUUUAUAACUCAAAUAUCUUAAAACAAGUAGUUUUAAUCGAAUUAAUUUCUUAAAUGAGAAGCUAUUCCUUGCGUUUAAGCUUUAUUUGCUUUAUUUGCUUUGUGGCCAUUUGCUAGUUUUUGAAAAAAACGUUAUGAAUACAGAAUCUUACUGAUAAAAGCUACCGAUAUCGUGGUUAACAAUAUUUUUAUUUAGGAUUUUAAAACAUUUACCGGCAAUUAAAAUAUUAAAAGUGGUUUAUUCAAACUAUUUGUACAUAUUUGUUCUGUUAUAUUGUUUUAGUUGAUUUGUCAGUGUUUUUGGAUUUCUCACAUAUUGUGUUGCAUGUGCAACACUAACACUUUUUAUAUUUUGACCCCUUCCUAGGCUAAGCUAUUGCAGUAUGUUAUAUAUUUUAUUAACUCUUUUAUGAUUUCCUUUCAUUAUUAUCUUAUUGUGCAUAUAUACUUUAGAUUUUUGAAUGAGAUUUUGUUUUACUUAGAAUAAAUACUUUCUGAAAUUUAA